CCUGCACCCAGGUGAAAUAAACAGCCAUGUAGCUCACACAACGCCUGUUUGGUGGUCUCUUCACACGGACGCACAUGAAAUUUGGUGCCCUGACUCGGAUCGGGGGACCUCCCUUGGGAGAUCAAUCCCCUGUCCUCCUGUUCUUUGCUCCCUGAGAAAGAUCCACCUAUGACUUCAGGUCCUCAGACUGACCAGCCCAAGGAACAUCUCACCAAUUUUAAAUCAGGUCUCCCACAGGAACUUGCUACACGUGCUGGAAAUCUGGCAACUGGACCAAGGAAUGCCCGCAGCCCGGGAUUCCUAAGCCGCAUCCCAUCUGUGUGGGACCCCACGGAAAAUCGGACUGUUCAACUCACCUGGCAGCCACUCCCAGAGCCCCUGGAACUCUGGCCCAAGGCUCUCUGACUCCUUCCCAGAUCUUCUCGGCCUAGCGGUUGAAGACUGACACUGCCCAAUCACCUCGGAAGCCCCCUAGACCAUCACGGACGCCGAGCUUCAGGUAACUCUAAACACUGCCUUCACUGAAUCUCACACAUCUUGAGAACUAGUGCUUUUAUGUUGGAAACGACGAGGCUGAAUCCUGUUGGAGUGAUUUGUUCUUCGGACUUUGUAUCUUAAAUGAAAUCUUCUCCCUUAGAGGCCACAUAAACUGAUGGUACAAUCUGCAACUCUAAGCAAAUUCAUAGGUUAUACUUUUUCUUCUUCAUACUUGACAUUUGAACCUAGCAAGUUUGAAUAGCCUGUAAUUUGAAAACUCCCUUGCACAUCUAGCAGAUCAAGGUAGCUUGUUCUGCCUUCUGGACAAAUGGUGCCCUUAAGUCAGCUUAGGGAGACUGUUCCGAUAUCAAGAUUCUGUUUGAAUACUAUAUACUCUCAGCUGCUUAUUUAUUCAUAUAUAUAUGACACGUUUAUCAUGGAAGUAUUUCAAAACUAUCUGAAAAUGAAUAUUGAUUAUUAAGGCAUUCAGUUUUAGGAAGAAAACAUACAUAAAUAUAUGAUCUUCAUUAUUUUCCUUUCUCCAUGCAAUUUCAAUAGAUAUUUAUCAAGAACUCAAAAUAUGCCUAGCACUGCCUAGGUGUUGGAAACAUUAGAGAAAUUAAAACAGAUAAAUUCCUUCCUUUAGUAGACUUAGUCUAACUAAAUAAAUGAUUUUUAAAAGGGCAUAAUAAAUGGUAUAAGCAAAAGAAAAUGAAGGUGAGGGGAAUAGGGCAUGCCAAGUAGGGAGCUGCUAUUUUAAUGAGGCCUAGGAGAAAACCAUUUAUAAGGUGACAUUUGAGCAGAGACCUAAAGAAAGUGAGAAAACGUGAUACAUGUAUGUACAUGGAAAAAGAAUAUAAUAAGCAAAAAAAAAAAAAAAAAUGGAGGCCAAGAGGGAAUCUUAUGCAUUACACAGAUUUUGAACUAAAAGCAAGAAGGCCAUAAUGGCUAAAAAUAAAUGAGGAUUCAUUAAAGAGGGUGAAGAAUAUAGAGAGUUAGGACUAUUGCUGUGAUGUAAAGUCAUUGGAGAGAUGACCUGAGAGAUUAGAACCCUGGGGUAACUUACAUUUCAUUUGCUGUUUUAUUCCAAAGUGAUAUUCAUUAUCUAAAGAAAAAAAUCAAAUAUACAGAAAUGAUAAAAUACAAAACAAUGCUGACCUUUAAGAAACAUUGACCUAUAAAUACUAAGAUGUUAAAUAUUUGUUUCUUGUGAUUUGUAUCUUUAUUGAUGUGAUAAUUAUGUAUCUAUAAGUUUUUUUAAUGCUCCAUGGUAUUAACAACCCAUUAUGAUUUGCAUUUAAGAUUAUUUAGAGUAUUCAGUGUAAUAAAUAAUGCAAAUGUAGGCAAAAGCUUUUCCAUGUAUACACACACACUACACACUAUAUUUUUAAUUAUUUCAUUCACAUAGAUUAAAAUAAACUUUUGUUUAAUGUAAAACAAUAUUGAUGCUCCCAACUCCCUAGUUACUUUGUACAAUUUGCAUGCCUACCAGCAAUGAUGAAUAUCCUAAUUGCCUUAAACAUAUCUAUAUUAUGUCAAAUCUUUCAUGCACUUUCAGUGUCUGACUUCUUUAGCACUGAAGUUCAUGCUCAGAUUUAAAGGGCCUGUAUGAAUAGGUGAGGCCCACCUGAAUACUCUGCAGAUAACCUGAUUUGGUACCUUAAUUCCAUCUUUAAAAUCCUUUCUAGCAACACCUACAUUCAUGAUUGAUAGACUAACUGAGAGAAGGUAUAUACACCACGGACUGCGAAUUUUGGAGGUCACUUUAGAAUUCUGUCUACCACGGAUACAUUUGAAUAUAUCUGCACAUUUACAUAUAGUUGUCACCACAUUAAGGAAAAUUAACAUAUAGAUUACCCCGAAAAAUUUCCUCAAACUAUUUUAUAAUUCCUUAAUCCCACCCCUUCUUGCCCUCUUUACCACCUUCAAUUCUAGGAAACUGCACCUAUGCUUUUUGUCACUAUGAUUGGUUUGUUGUGUCUGAGAUUUUAUAUAAAUGUCACC
rnacentral:lncRNA from 1 species